rnacentral:tRNA from 1 species
UGGUGUAGCCCGGUCAAACAUGCGGGCCUUUCGAGCCCGCGCCCCGGGUUCAAAUCCCG